rnacentral:lncRNA from 1 species
UGAUCAAUUCAGGCUGGGGAAGAACUGCAACAUAUGAAGGGUUUACUAGGCAUGCUUCAGUGGUUGGAAUGUCUAGGAGAGAUCAUAGGCUUUAUUGGGAGGAUCCCCUGCCACUCACGGCCUCCUUUAAUGCCAGCAGUUCAGUCCACUGUACUGUUUUUCAUUUUUCGUCCAUUCAGAAUCACUGACCAUCUUUUUAAUCAACUGUUCUGGUGUCGCUCCACCUCAGGGGAGAACAUUAGCUCCUUCGUCUCCCCCGAAGUCACCGCAGAACUAGACAAAUAGCCCUGAUCCGGUUUGGUUUUGCUCAUUCCUCAGAAGCCAAUGCUCAUGUCUAAAAUUUAUUCAGUAAUUCAAGAAUUAAUGGUUAUGUAAAACAGUCAGUUUCCCUAACGUGUUGCUCCAAAGCAUUUUAUUGAUUUUUCAGUACGUUACUUUAGAGUAAAGCCCAUGGAAGUCGACAUAGCUUACUUUUGAAUAGGACCGUGCUGUUAAUGUCUGGUUUCUCCUGCCCCUUUCUCAAAUGAACAAACAAAAACCUAAGCCACCACCAUCAAAAGCGUGGAAAGCCUCGGGGGCCUGCUGUUCAAUAGAGCAUGCUUGGUUUCCCUCUGCCCCCAUAUAUUCUCAUAUAAGAAAAAGAAGGUGGGGGAAAAUAUGUAAAAACCAAAAACACCCACAACGUUUGCCAGUCAUUUAGGUUUAAAAAUAGGGUUGCGUGGAACAGCACAUUGUGAUUUUAUAUUUUUAACACUGCUUCAAUUGCUACCCUUUCUAAGAGGGGAUCUUUAAUAAUACUCUUUCUGUUUCUCUCUCUCUCUCUCUCUUAAAGAAAGUGAAAUGUUGUACGAAAGAUCUCCCCGUUUUGUAGAACUGUGUUUUCUGUGACUACUCAGCCACUCACUGUCAGAAGGCAGUAUUGAUGACAGCCAUUUGUAUGGUGGCAGCCAUUUUGGAUUUUCUCAAAGUCAAAAAUCAUCUCAGAAUGGGCCUCCUCAGAAGGAGAUGUUGGGUCCCGCUAAUCAAGCACCCGUUCACCUGCCCGGACUUCACACGCCCAGUUAAGCUCGGACAAGAGGAGAUCAGUUCCAGUCCCUUUAUUCAGCUGAGCAAAGCAACCAGGCGGACAGUCUUCUGCACACAGGCAACCUUUGUCGCCCCUACCUUCCUUCUCCAGACAUUCUUUGCAGUCCACCACCCUCUUUUUCCUUCGUGGUUCAACUGUAGCACAGUUGACAGUAUGCUGACCACCCAAAUGCUGAUCCACAUUUCAUCUCACUUAAGAGCAGCAGCAGGAAAAGAGGAAGACCAAAUACAAGAUGGACUGACUCCCUAAAUGAAGCCACGAUCUUGCUUCUACAAGAGCUGAGCAGGGCUUUUGAAGACAGAACAUUCUGGAGAGCGCUCAUUCAUAGGGUCACCAUAAGUCAAAGGCAACUAGAUAUAACAACAAUAACAGGAGAGGGCAUGUAUGACUGAGAACCAUUAUCGCUCAUGGGGCUGGAACACCUGGCUAUGGAAUCAGAGUGGAGUCUGAAUCGCUCAUUGAGUCUCCCAGGAGAGGAAGCAGCCAAAAUCAUCUGAUACAGGUGUGCCCUUCCACCUGUGCAACCUUGGGUAAUCUGUGUGUUCCAGAGUGCCAUGAGAAGGAGGAACUGGUAAACCAAUAUCAGAGUACUGCUUACCUCUGGGAGAAUGGUCACAAGGCAGAAUUGACUUGACAGCAUAUGAGAAUUAUUAUUCGUGGCCUAGACUGCACAGCUCAGGGGUACAGCAGAUACUUCCUGUGCUCCAGGUCCCAGGUUCUACCUCCAGCAUCAACAGGGAGGCGUGGAAGAGACAGCCUGAAACCGGGACAGCUGCUGUCAGUCACCAUUGACUAGUCCUGAGGGACCACCCAAUGGCGAGCUGCUUCCUGGUUUCCUAUGAGGGCCAGUAGACAGAAACGGGAUCCUGAUGAGGUAAAGGCAUGGUGAGGCACGAAUGGCAACCUCCUGAACAAUUAUCUUCCCUUUUAUAGACCCGUUAGCCCACUACAGUCUUCAGCAAAGCCCCUGAGCUUAUCCAUUGCACAUCCUGCAAGCCCUACCUGAUGGCAACAUACUGUGGGACUUCUAACCAUUGGGUUCCACUUGGGGAGGAGGGCAAAGCCUGGAACUAAGAAAGGUGUGAUGAGAAGAUCAGCAACAUCUUUGGUUGGCAAUACAUCUGUAGCACUUCCUCAACCUCGGCCCUACAAUGAAGAUAAGACAUAUUUGCAGUGGAGCCCGACCACGCCAAACGUGUUCCCCCCUCCCUCAGAGUAACACGUACCCAAUGUCUCCUAGUGAGAACAG